GAUGAACGCUGGCGGCGUGCCUAAUACAUGCAAGUCGAGCGAACGGACGAGGAGCUUGCUUCUCUGAUGUUAGCGGCGGACGGGUGAGUAACACGUGGAUAACCUACCUAUAAGACUGGGAUAACUUCGGGAAACCGGAGCUAAUACCGGAUGAUAUUUUGAACCGCAUGGUUCAAAAGUGAAAGACGGUCUUGCUGUCACUUAUGGAUGGAUCCGCGCUGCAUUAGCUAGUUGGUAAGGUAACGGCUUACCAAGGCAACGAUGCAUAGCCGACCUGAGAGGGUGAUCGGCCACACUGGAACUGGGACACGGUCCAGACUCCUACGGGAGGCAGCAGUAGGGAAUCUUCCGCAAUGGGCGAAAGCCUGACGGAGCAACGCCGCGUGAGUGAUGAAGGUCUUCGGAUCGUAAAACUCUGUUAUUAGGGAAGAACAUAUGUGUAAGUAACUGUGCACAUCUUGACGGUACCUAAUCAGAAAGCCACGGCUAACUACGUG
rnacentral:rRNA from 1 species